GUGCAGCACUGUCCCAGGAACCUCCUUUAGUACCUAUAUGAGGAGUGUACAAUAGAAUUAUCCCUAGGCUGUAAUGUAAACACUGCAUUUAUUUUGAAAAGACAGUGUUUACAGCAAAAAGCCUGAAGGGAAUGAUUAAAUUCACCAGAACAAAUACAAUAAGCUGUAGUUGUUCUAGUAACUAUAGUGUCCCUUUAAAUGUACAAUUCCAUUGCCCAUGCUUAGUGGAUAACAGUCACAAGGUUAUUGACUAAAGAGUGAAUUGUCAGAUUGUUUUAUAUAGGAUUCAC